GGACCUUUAGCUCAGUCGGUUAGAGCAGACGGCUCAUAACCGUCCGGUCGUAAGGUCCAUUUUUUCUAAUCAGGUCUU
rnacentral:tRNA from 1 species